GGGGGCGUUACGGAUUCGACAGGGAUAGAUUGAGCUCAGGUUGCGCGUCGAGGCUACGGCUCGUUAAACGUUACUCGCCUAAUAACUGGCAAAACUAAUAAUCAACCUGCUUUAGCAGCUGCGUAAGUAGCCUAAAGCGAUCCUUCCUGCUUUCGCCCGUGAAGCAGUACUGAAGGGUCUCAAAUGAAGCGGGCUAUUUGCGGCAAUCCACCGUCUGAGGAUGGUCGCUGAAUUUAAUCAGACUAGCUACUCCAAAGCCUGUUGGUAGGCCUAGAGGUUAGCGAAUGAUAAUAUACCAACUAUGCGUGUAGAAGCCUGAGUGGCGAUAUCUCUGGACGUGGGUUCGAUUCCCACCGUCUCCACCA
rnacentral:tmRNA from 1 species